UCUACACAGAGCUUCCUUUCUUGGUAUAAUAGAUAAACAAGAUGCUUGAUUACCUUACGAUUUUCCCUGCUGUGUGUAUAGUAAAGGCAGCACAAUUUGGACUUGCCUGAUGUUGCAUUGAAGAUAAAUGGCUUUUCCAAGGCCUCUGUGAUGUUCCUAAAACCUACUGUGUGUUUCCUGUCUCCGCCCAAGUCCUGGCUGAUCCACUGUGUGUUUCCUGUCUCCGCCCCCAGUCCUGGCUGAUCCACUGUGUGUUUCCUGUCUCCGCCCCCAGUCCUGGCUGAUCCACUGUGUGUUUCCUGUCUCCUCCCCAGUCCUGGCUGAUCCGAUGUGUGUUUCCUGUCUCCUCACCAGUCCUGGCUGAUCUACUGGAGAAGGCUGUGUUGCACCUCUCUGCUUCGCUGUCAGAGCAUUUCUUCCUGCUUGCACAAUACAAAGCAUCAUGACUGGCCGCUUCCACUCCCCUGCUGUACGUGCCUGUCAAUCACAUUGAGAAGGCCCACUGCAUCCAGCCUCAGCCCCCUCAAUCUGUAACCCUUCUCUCCUGCUGCCUACUGAGACUGACCUGUGGUGCGCCAGGUAAGAUGCUGUGGUUGUUAUAGUGGACCUCUCCCUAACAUUAGAGGGGGGGGGGCUCAUGGUUGGAGAAAUGGAAAGAGAGAGAGAGACAUUUUUCUGCAUGUUUUAAAAAAAAUAUAGAUUUAGAGUUAGAUAAACUUGGAUUUUUUGGCAAGG
rnacentral:lncRNA from 1 species